AUUGAACGCUGGCGGCAUGCCUUACACAUGCAAGUCGAACGCGAAAGCGGGGGCAACCCUGCGAGUAGAGUGGCGAACGGGUGAGUAAUACAUCGGAACGUACCCAGGAGUGGGGGACAACCUCGAGAAAUCGAGGCUAAUACCGCAUACGUCCUGAGGGAGAAAGCGGGGGAUUCGCAAGGACCUCGCGCUCAUGGAGCGGCCGAUGUCGGAUUAGCUAGUUGGCGGGGUAAAGGCCCACCAAGGCGACGAUCCGUAGCUGGUUUGAGAGAACGACCAGCCACACUGGGACUGAGACACGGCCCAGACUCCUACGGGAGGCAGCAGUGGGGAAUUUUGGACAAUGGGCGCAAGCCUGAUCCAGCCAUGCCGCGUGAGUGAAGAAGGCCUUCGGGUUGUAAAGCUCUUUCGGCCGGAACGAAAUCGCGUACGUGAAUAACGUGCGUGGAUGACGGUACUGGAAGAAGAAGCACCGGCUAACUACGUGCCAGCAGCCGCGGUAAUACGUAGGGUGCGAGCGUUAAUCGGAAUUACUGGGCGUAAAGCGUGCGCAGGCGGUUCCGCAAGUCAGAUGUGAAAUCCCCGGGCUUAACCUGGGAACUGCGUUUGAAACUACGGAGCUAGAGUACG
rnacentral:rRNA from 1 species